rnacentral:tRNA from 1 species
AAAAAUAUAGUUUAAUGAAAACGUUGUUUUGAUAGGACAAAGAUGCAUUUAAUGUUAUUUUUA